GGGUGAAGUUGGCUGUGAUUUCUCACUUCAGUGAUCACCAGGGUACAUUUAGUUGAUCUGGAUGGCUAGGCCAGUGUCACCCCCCUACCC
rnacentral:snRNA from 1 species